AUGUGUGUCCCGAAAAGCCAAGGCGGAAUGGGCUUUCGUGACAUUCAUUGUUUUAGUUUGGCGAUGUUGGCUAAACAAGCUUGGCGUCCCCUUGAGAACUCACAUUCCUUGUGUGCCACCAUUUUGCACGCUAAGUAUUUCCCUGAUGGAGAUUUAUUGAACACAAAGUUAAAAAAGGAAUUAUCCUUCGCAUGGCAAAGUAUUAUGGCAGGGGUUAAUACCUUAAAACAUGGCUAUAUUUGGCGAGUUAGAAAUGGUCAGAAAAUUGACAUUUGGGAGGAUGCUUGGAUCCCUGGCUGUGCUAAUAGAAAAGUCAUCACUCCAAAGGGGCAACAUUUGUUAUCAAAAGUGUCGGAUUUCAUUGACCCCUCUUCGAACAGGUGGGAUGAAGAUCUCAUCAGACGGACCUUGUGGCCCGUUGAUUUACAGCGGGUCCUUGCUAUCCCUCUGCCUCAGUUUGAUAUGUCAGAUUUUGUUGCCUGGAGUCAUACUAAGAGUGGCAUUUUUUUUGUUCGAUCUGCAUAUUUUGUUGAGUGGGAUUAUCAACAUGGAAGGAAACUUCGUCAUACUAAUGGAAUGGGUCGAACAAACUUUAAUCCAAUUUGGUGUAAGAUUUGGAAGUUAUCUUGUCCAGCGAAGGUGUUUUUUAAUUGGCGGACGCUGCAUGGUACUCUUCCAUGUCGUGUUACGCUUGCUAAUAGACACAUGAAAGUUUCACCUUUAUGCCCAUUUUGUGCUUCUGGUUUAGAAGACACAAAGCAUCUGUUGUUUCAGUGCCAGAAGGCAAAAGAGGUCUGGAGAAGGCUUGGCUUAGACGAGAUCAUUGCUCAAGCUUGUGAAGUUGAUGGUGCUGGAGAGGCGGUCCUCGGUUUUUUGUUGCACAUGUUUGACCAAGAUUUAUCUAUUAUGGGGUCCCAGAAUAUUCGGGAGAUGAUUGCCAUUACGUCUUGGUAUUUGCGGUGGGAAAGACGGAAAUUAGUGCACAAGAAGGGAAUUCAAGAUGCAAAACAGAUUUCAAUGGGGAUACAGGCUCUUACGGCUAAUUAUGUUGUUGCUUCCAGUCCAAAGGCUUCUAUGAAAAGAGGGGGUUGGAUUCGUCCCCCGGUGGGUUUUGUGAAACUUAAUGUUGAUGCUUCUUUUGAUCAUGAUAUUCUUAAAGGUACGGCUGGGGCUGUCCUGAGGAACGACAAAGGGAAUUUUAUUGCAGGGGUACUUGGAAAAUUGAUCAUUGCGUCGAUGCUCUAA
rnacentral:rRNA from 1 species